AUUGAACGCUGGCGGCAGGCCUAACACAUGCAAGUCGAACGAGUGGCGGACGGGUGAGUAAUGUCUGGGAAACUGCCUGAUGGAGGGGGAUAACUACUGGAAACGGUAUCUAAUACCGCAUACCAUGAGACGUGCCCAGAUGGGAUUAGCUAGUUGGGGGGGUAACGGAUCACCAAGGCGACGACCCCUAGCUGGUCUGAGAGGAUGACAAGCCACACUAGAAGUGAGACCAGGUACAGACUCCUACGGGAGGCAGCAGUGGGGAAUAUUGCACAAUGGGAGCAAGCCUAGUGCAGCCAUGCCGCGUGUGUGAAGAAGGCCUUCGGGUUGUAAAGCACUUUCAGCGAGAAGGCGUUACUCGCAGAAGAAGCACCGGCUAACUCCGUGCCAGCAGCCGCGGUAAUAC
rnacentral:rRNA from 1 species